rnacentral:rRNA from 1 species
CACAGGUUUACCUGUGUGACUGCGUACCUUUUGUAUAAUGGGUCAGCGACUUAUAUUCUGUAGCAAGGUUAACCGAAUAGGGGAGCCGGAGGGAAACCGAGUCUUAAUUGGGCGUUAAGUUGCAGGGUAUAGACCCGAAACCCGGUGAUCUAGCCAUGGGCAGGUUGAAGGUUGGGUAACACUAACUGGAGGACCGAACCGACUAAUGUUGAAAAAUUAGCGGAUGACCUGUGGCUGGGGGUGAAAGGCCAAUCAAACCGGGAGAUAGCUGGUUCUCCCCGAAAGCUAUUUAGGUAGCGCCUCGUGAAUUCAUCUCCGGGGGUAGAGCACUGUUUCGGCUAGGGGGCCAUCCCGGCUUACCAACCCGAUGCAAACUGCGAAUACCGGAGAAUGUUAUCACGGGAGACACACGGCGGGUGCUAACGUCCGUCGUGAAGAGGGAAACAACCCAGACCGCCAGCUAAGGUCCCAAAGUCAUGGUUAAGUGGGAAACGAUGUGGGAAGGCCCAGACAGCCAGGAUGUUGGCUUAGAAGCAGCCAUCAUUUAAAGAAAGCGUAAUAGCUCACUGGUCGAGUCGGCCUGCGCGGAAGAUGUAACGGGGCUAAACCAUGCACCGAAGCUGCGGCAGCGACACUGUGUGUUGUUGGGUAGGGGAGCGUUCUGUAAGCCUGUGAAGGUGUGUCGUGAGGC